UAGUCCUACGGGAGGCAGCAGUGGGGAAUAUUGCACAAUGGGCGAAAGCCUGAUGCAGCAACGCCGCGUGAAGGAAGACGGUUUUCGGAUUGUAAACUUCUGUUCUUAGUGAAGAAUAAUGACGGUAACUAAGGAGCAAGCCACGGCUAACUACGUGCCAGCAGCCGCGGUAAUACGUAGGUGGCAAGCGUUGUCCGGAAUUACUGGGUGUAAAGGGAGCGUAGGCGGGAGAGCAAGUCGACUGUGAAAUCUAUGGGCUUAACCCAUAGCUGCGAGCGAAACUGUUCAUCUUGA
rnacentral:rRNA from 1 species